GACAUACAAGGUAAUUUUAAACAUUUAAACUAUUUGUUUUCUAUUAAAUUCAACACGGAACGGAAUAACUCUUUCUGAAAUGCAAGCAAUUUUCAUUACAUUUCAACUUUUUUAGUAUGGAAGGGUUAGUUUUUAGCUGAAAUUGUGAAGGGAAGGGAACAUGCCAUUAUUGAGCUUAUUGUCGUCAUGCUACAGUCUGAUGUUUAUAUUUACAGAAGGUUGUAUGAGAGGUUCCGACAGUUCAAACCUAGACAAAAUAACCUACACAGUAAAUAAUGAAACCAUUCCAAGAAAUCAUAGACUGAAUUGUACAGACAAGGAGACUCAAUCUUUGUCCUGUUUGAAUGGAGGAUCAUGCUUUGCUGUAUAUGUUGAAGACAGAAUAGUGCAGUG